ensembl:lncRNA
GUGAUGUGUUCACGUAGAAGUCCUCAGAUGAACUUCCAGGACCAUUGUAUUAAAAGAUCUCAGUCUGCCGAUACGUCUCCUCAUUUUGAAAGAAAUGAGGAAAAUCCAAGAUCAGAAAACAGCCAGUGACCUUGAACUCAGCCUGGUUGUAAUAUCCGGCCUGACUCCUCUGCCACCAUUUCCUAGGACCCCUUUAUCCUCCUCGCCAAGCAUAAAGACCCCCAAGCCUCGGGGAAAGCCUGGAUAUGUUCAAUAUAAGCGGGCUGUUCUCAUUUUUCCACCCACCUCUGAUUUGCUGGGACCCCAAAUGCAAGCUCACUCCUUCUAGGGCUUGAUGCAGCAACCCAGGCUGGAAUUCUCUCCAGUCUCCACAGCAGCCCUGAGAAAGGAGGCACUGCCAUCUCUGUCUUACAGAGGAGGAAACGGGGGCUCAAAGAGAUUGGACUACUUGUGUGGCAGUCACACAGUAAAUA